AGAUUAAAAUCAGCAAACAAAAGGAUAAGCCUCAAACAAAGUAUCCGAUAUCCAACAAUGAUAUGUGAUAUUUUUGUUUUGAUUUUUCUUGAAAGACACACCUUUAAGUAUGCGUCAUCGUGUGAAGGCAAUGAUUUCUUUCGUUUGAAAAUCUUAGGAAUGCAAAGAUGUAACCCAGACCAGGUAAUUGAUAAAAGCCUACAUCUUUAUCUCCCGAGGAAAAUUUAUUCCUGUUGCUGGCCAGGUUAAAAGGCUUGUGUCUCAAUUUUUACCCGAGAUCAUGUUUAUUAUUCAUUAUUAGUCAAAAAUAAUGUUGAGAUAUAAAUCCUUUGUAUACCAGGUAUUAUUCAGCUAUGCUGUUGAUGAUGUUUCUUUCACUUAAAUCCUGAGAUCGUGACGGCCGCAUUUACUCAUCAAUUUGGAUUGCUCUUUUGUUUCAAAACAAAAUUUCAAAACAAGCAUUGAGUGAUUUGCUAAUUUUUCAACGAUUCCGAGUUUGUUGGCUUUAGUAAGGUGAUUGAAUUAACCAUGAUUAAUCUCAAUAUUAAAGAUCGUGGUUUGUUGAUUAGGAAAUUUGUCAAUUAGAGCUUGAUAAAUAUGUUUGCUCAAAUCUGUUUAUCUUCAUGUCUUCUGCAUGUUAAGAAAAUUGAAAAUUGUUUAUCACGCUGGUCAUUCACAGUUAUCUUGAUAUCGACUCUUCAAAAUACAGUUUUAUAGAGUUCAAAAUAUUGAUUUAAUUUUCCACUAUUGAUUUUGUAUUACUAAUUGUCUGCGGCAAGUUUAUCCGUUUUUCAAAGUAUAACAUGGACUGAAUACGUGUCAUAUUUUUAAUCAAGUUUUCACUAUUCAUCUUAUGAAUACGAUUUAAAUUUUGAACCAUUUAUCCAUCAAUUUUUAAACUUAACUAAUUUUCUCAUAAACAGUUUAAUCAGCAACAAAAAUUUGAUUGCUAUUAAAUCAUAUUUUAUUUUUGA